rnacentral:rRNA from 1 species
UCCGGUGACCAUAUCGAGCUGGCCACACCCGUUCCCUUUCCGAACACGGUCGUUCCGCAGCUCGAGCCGAUGGUAUUGGGUGAACCCCGAGAGAGUAGGUCAUUGCCGGAA